GACGAGCGCUGGCGGCGUGCUUAACACAUGCAAGUCGAACGGAAAGGCCCUGCUUUUGUGGGGUGCUCGAGUGGCGAACGGGUGAGUAACACGUGAGUAACCUGCCCUUGACUUUGGGAUAACUUCAGGAGACUGGGGCUAAUACCGGAUAGGAGCUCCUGCUGCAUGGUGGGGGUUGGAAAGUUUCGGCGGUUGGGGAUGGACUCGCGGCUUAUCAGCUUGUUGGUGGGGUAGUGGCUUACCAAGGCUUUGACGGGUAGCCGGCCUGAGAGGGUGACCGGCCACAUUGGGACUGAGAUACGGCCCAGACUCCUACGGGAGGCAGCAGUGGGGAAUAUUGCACAAUGGGCGGAAGCCUGAUGCAGCAACGCCGCGUGCGGGAUGACGGCCUUCGGGUUGUAAACCGCUUUCGCCUGUGACGAAGCGUGAGUGACGGUAAUGGGUAAAGAAGCACCGGCUAACUACGUG
rnacentral:rRNA from 1 species